UAUCUGGUGCCUUGUGGUCUCAAAUUGUCUCAUAGUUAGGACCUCACUAGUUUUCUAUUUGGGGUUUUGUGUGUGUGUGUGUGUGUGUUUAUUUAUUUAGCACAUGCCUUUAAUCCCAGCACUUGGGAGGCAGAGGCAGGCGGAUUUCUGAGUUCAAGGACAGCCAGAGCUACAUAGAGAAACCCUGUCUCGAAAAACCAAAAGAAAAAAAAAAAGAUUUAUUUAUUUAUUUUUAUUUAUAUGCGUACAUUGUACUCAUAUACACACCAGAAGAGUGCAUCAGAUCCCAUUACAGAUGGUUGUGAGCCACCAUGUGGUUGCCAGGAAUUAAACUCAGGACUUCUGGAAGAGCGGUCAGUGUUCUUAACUGCUGAGCCCAUAUUUAAAAAUUUGUAAUGGACACAUCUUUCAACAAUGCAAGGUGUAAGAUGAGGAAGGGAGAGUAGAAUACCUUCCUUUUGUGGAAGUAGAAAGGAAGUGAAGCAAGUGAUAGGAAAGGGAACCCCUCAACCUGUUCAGACAGAGUAGCUUUAGAAAUAAUGUGUGGGAGCUGUUGAAUUGUCAAGGGGUUGAUCCUCUGAAAAUGCAAAGCCUUGUAUAUUUCUUUUGAGUGUGGGCCUUUAGCUGUGUAUUGAAGAAAGAAUGGACCUUUCCAGAUGAGUAUGGGUGUCUGGAAAACACUACAGGUUCAUAUUCAUAGCAUAAUAAAGAUCCAAAAGUAUAUUAUGGGGAGAUACAGAAAUAAUGAACUAAGUAGAGCUUGCUCAGUGAGUCACUUUAAAUACUGUUUAUCAGUCUGAAUACUAGUAGAGGUAAAGAGGCAGAGUAAAGGAAUUAGCUUCAUUGUGAAAAUAUCCAAAGCAAAUUGUAUCUUCAGUUUUUUUAGGUUUUUUGUUUGUUUCUCUGUAUAGCCCUGGCUGUCCUGGAACUCACUUUGUAGACCAGGCUGGCCUUGAACUCAAAAAUCUGCCUGCCUCUGCUUUCCGAGUGCUGGGAUUAAAGGAGUGCGCUACCAAGCCCGGCUUGUAUCUUCAGUUUUACUCAUGUGAUUUCUCUUUGAAUAGACUUAAAACUUCACAUCAUAUACCUGCGUUUACAUUUCUUUACAAUGCAGCCUUUUGUUUUCAAUUUUACUUUUUGAGUAUUUGUGAACAUAACAUCUUUUUAGUGGUCUUUCAGAGAGUACAUAUUAGGUUACUUAAUAUCAAAAGUUAGAAGCCAUGCCCCUACAAGCAAUUUUAAAAUCUAGACUAAGUUCCUUUUCUCCUUUCUUCUCAUUCCUUCUCAAACUAGAUUGAGUGAUAUUUCUGUUAGGCUGAAAUAUCUUCUCUGUUUGAGAGGGGUCGCUUUCUCAUCAUCUUUAUCCCUUCCUUCUAUUUUGCAAAAGGAAGGCAUUCUCUUGUCCCCAUUGUAUACCUUGCAUUGUCUCAGAAUAGACAAACUGCUGGAUGUCUGGUACAGAAUUUUAAAUAAACAAAACUGAGAAUUGGUAGUGCCCUAAGACAUGAAUUUAACAUUUGCAGCACUUACAACUUGUCAGCUCAUUAUUUCAUCUGAUCCUUGAUCAGCAAUUACUUCUUUAAAAAAUGUUUUUCUUACUGAGGCUGAGCAUGUUAAUCUAAAAAAUCUGAAGGCUUUGAGUGCUGGUAUGUUCAAAAGCCUCAGGAUGCCCAACCAGUAAAAUGUAAGCAAAUCGGAAACAUCCUUGGUCUCAAAAAUGUUUUGAAUAAGAACAUUCAACCUUUUAUAUUUAAAUGAGCCAACCUACAUGUUCAUACUAAUCAGAUUUUAGAUGAUGACUUAGUAUUUAGAACCGGGAUGUACAUUAGAAAGUUGGCUUUCUUUCUGAAAUGAAAAUUUACUUUGAGUUCUCUAAAGCUGCAUUUCUUAGGGGCAGAGACAGACCACUUUUGAGUCAUAUCUCACAUAAGAUACUGGGUUCCUGUUAGAAUUUUAGGAUCCUAGAAUUUCAGCACUUUAGGGAAAAGGAGUUAAAUUGCUAGUCAAUACAGUAACCGUUUGAGUGCUGAUUGUGUUAUGGUUGCAGUUUGCUUGAUUUUCUCAUUCAUGCACUCCCAAAACGAACUUUUCAUGGAAGGGAGUAACAGUUUAAUCGGUAAUGCUUUACUGGCUGCGUUUUACUGGUAAAUCGGAACUGGAUGUGGUAGAACAUGCUUUUAAUCCUAGCACUUGGGAGUCAGAGGUAAACAAUCUUGAAUUCAAGGCUAGUCUGAUCUAUGCCAUAGUAAAUUCAAGGCCAGCCAGAGCUCUACAUAAUGAGACUGUCUAGAAAAACAAACAAACAAACAAACAAACCUAUUUAUAGUGUAACCCAAAUGUCCUCAGAGUGUUUUGAUUUCUUCCUUAAAAUGGCUUAAGAAAAUAGCAUAAAUGUCUGGUUGAUCUCCAAGUUCAAGGCCAGCCUGGUCAACAGAGUGAGUUCCAGGACAGGGCUGGAAACUGAGAAACCCUGUGUCG
rnacentral:lncRNA from 1 species